GAACAUCAUGUUUCUGGAGCUGGACAUGACUCCUCCGAACACCGCCUCUCUGGACCGAUCCACAGACUCUGAGCCGAACCAAAGCCCCUCUCUGGACGGAUCGCCCACCAAGGAGGGCGGCGUCCGCAAGUCCCGCUCCUGGUGCCAGACUCCAAAAUCCAUCACUUCCUCUUCUUCUAAUGUCUCCUUGGCGGCGUGUCACACUGCCACACCGAUGACGGCGCAGUAAAGCUUUAGUGGAGAGGAUUUAUUUUAUUGUUAUUUAUUCAAUUCCUCCACUUCUUCUUCCUUCUUUAUCUCUAUAAAAUGUUGGCCAGUGAUCCUUUAAAAGACUUCUGGGACACACCUAAGGGGUGAUAAACUAAAUUACAU